UACGUAGGGUGCAAGCGUUGUCCGGAAUUAUUGGGCGUAAAGAGCUCGUAGGCGGUCUGUCGCGUCGGCUGUGAAAACCCGGAGCUCAACUCCGGGCCUGCAGUCGAUACGGGCAGACUGGAGUUCGGCAGGGGAGACUGGAAUUCCUGGUGUAGCGGUGAAAUGCGCAGAUAUCAGGAGGAACACCGGUGGCGAAGGCGGGAUCUCUGGGCCGAUACUGACGCUGAGGAGCGAAAGCGUGGGGAGCGAACAGG
rnacentral:rRNA from 1 species